UGAACGAUGCAGACUGUUUUCCACUAAACACAAAGAAAUGGAACCGGGUAACCGAAAAAAAAACUACGGAUCUAGCUAGUGGAAGCCGCUUCAAAAGACAUCAAUAUCAUGUUCAUGAUGUGCGGAACAAUGAUUUAGGAAGAAAUUCCGAUAUACGUAAUAGUCAGUGGAUUGAACAAUUAUCGCAAAUCCCAAAUAACGAAAUACUACGGCCGACAUUUGACGGGAGUUUAUUAGUCUCACCUCCAGCGGAGGAUGAGGAAGUUGAUUAAUUCAGCCAAUAUAAACAGAAGCAGUCCAGAGCGUGAUAGGCCGAGAUCAUCCUCUUAUCGACCCUUCUGCGGCGCGGCUCGGCGCGGCGUUUAACAGUAUUAUGUAACGUAUUGAUAUCAAGUACAAUUAUUGUAAUAUAUGUGUGUGUCUAGUCUUUGUGUGUUUUAUUGGUACAGUCAGCCCACGAAUGUAGCUGAACAAAUUAAAAAUUCCAAAACGCACAAACUGUUUAGUGGAGCUUAUGAAUGCAAUUUACUGGAACAAAUCAAUAUAAUUGUUCCUUACAAUUUUCCCAGACACCCACUAAACAAAAUUCAUCAGGGCCCUCCAUAUAGAUCGAAUCAAGGGCUCCAUUCACCGUUUAACCGGACAUGCGAUAGUUAUAGUAUGAUGUGCACUAAAUUAUCUGAUCUUGACAUAUUCUCCGAUUCC